AACGAACGCUGGUGGCAUGCCUAACACAUGCAAGUCGAACGAGACCUUCGGGUCUAGUGGCGCACGGGUGCGUAACGCGUGGGAACCUGCCCUUAGGUUCGGAAUAACUCAGAGAAAUUUGAGCUAAUACCGGAUAAUGUCUUCGGACCAAAGAUUUAUCGCCUUUGGAUGGGCCCGCGUAGGAUUAGCUUGUUGGUGGGGUAAUGGCCUACCAAGGCGACGAUCCUUAGCUGGUCUGAGAGGAUGAUCAGCCACACUGGGACUGAGACACGGCCCAGACUCCUACGGGAGGCAGCAGUGGGGAAUAUUGGACAAUGGGCGAAAGCCUGAUCCAGCAAUGCCGCGUGAGUGAUGAAGGCCUUAGGGUUGUAAAGCUCUUUUACCAGGGAUGAUAAUGACAGUACCUGGAGAAUAAGCUCCGGCUAACUCCGUG
rnacentral:rRNA from 1 species